UUGUUUGUUUAGGUUUUGUGACAACGUAAUUAAUUACGCGAGUGUAACGUUCCGUAGUGUGCACGGUAGUGACACUGCAUACGAAAAUGAAUGGUUGCGUAUCAGCGCCAGAGGUUUCUUGUUUUGAAUGUCCGUACUAUAUUUGUUCUGACAUAUCACAAGCUGAUUUCUGCCAUAUUUUUUGUUUUGUUUAGUUUUGUUUUUUUUUUUUAAAUAAAUAUCUUUAAAUGUUUAAAAUCGGUGUAAUGACAAUAGCUACAGCAGUUACUACAAGUAUAGAAUUGUUUUGGCCACCAAUCAGCAAGAACAAGUGUAUUACUCACACACACGGCAUAUCUAAUGUCUUCUACGUUUUACAAGAGCUCCAAAUUAUUACUCAGCAGAGAUCACCUUCUUCUCCCAAAAAAAUAUCUUGAUGAAUUGUCCGUUUUACAAAGUUCCCGCUAUUCCCAGCUGGUUAUCUUAAAGUUCAUUUAGUUCAUUUAAGAUGGGUAAAAUUGACAACAAGUUUCACUAGUUAUCACAAAGCGGAACAGCUGAUACAAGGCAUUUUUAGUUGAUAACAUUUUGCGGUUCGUUGUCCAAAUAAUUAUUACUGAUCGUGAAGUGAAUAUUAUAAGACUGUUCGUUCCGAUCGAUUAACAAUGGAUCAGACUGAUAUGCAGUGUAUGGAAGAAGAUGAUUUUUUUUCCCAAAUUAUUGAAUAUGAUGAUCAUGACGACGGUUCGGACGGACAAAGCGAAAAGGAAAAUGUUCCAAUUAAGCUCAAGAAACGAAGGCCAACCAAAGAGCAGUUUAAAAAAAUAAAAGAUUUCUUCGGACAUGAUAACCGUACCGUAAAUGUUCCCGAAUUGAUUUCGAUGAUGAAAGAUGAUGAAGAAGGCUUCGGGAGAGAAGAAGUCUUUAGAUUACUUGCUUCAGAAGGUUUCCAUAUCAAUACAGAGACGCAAUGCGGCUUGUAUAUUAGGAACUUUUGAAAAGAGAGUUGAUGAUUUUUAUUUGCUCUAGCUAUAAUUUCUUUUUGUUUUGUCUGGAAAUAUACUAAUCAUUUUGUUUUCUUUUUCAUGUUUUUCGGUAAUUAACUCGAGCACAAGAUAUUAAAUUCAAUGAAGAACUUUUAUUCAAUCAAUACUCGUUACUUUUACUUAGUUUUUUUUUUCUAGAUUUAUUUUAAUUAUUUAAAUGAAAUGUUUUGUAAUGAAACUUAAUUGUAAUAUUUAAUUAUAUUUUUUUCGGAGUUUUAGUGCGGGAGAGGACGCUUUCUCCGACAAUAAAAAAAAAAGUUUAAAUAAGAAAAAAAAAAUUUCGCUAUAACAAAUUCGUCCACACCGUUCAGCAUUUGAUUGUUUUGCACUUGUAACAGAAUUGUGUGUUUUUAAAUUGAUCGGUAUCCUCAGAACAUUAACAUUAUCUUCAAUAAUCGGUGCUUUUCAGACCAAGGAGAUUACACCGACGUUGGUUAUGAGGCCAUGACCGAAAUAUGGACACAAUUGGCAGUGAAACUAAACGAAAUUGGUCCUCCGGUACAUACACAAUCAGAAUGGCGAAGAAAGUAGUCCUUGCAUAAAUAUAGAACGAAGAAAAUGUCCGAUCAGAAGAAGUGCCAAAGUGCAGCUGCACAAUCAAAGGACACUGCUGACGAGCGAAUCGGCGAUUCAAGCGUACCGGCACCUGAAGACACUGGUUUUUUUCACCGAAGCGUUCUGAUCAAGCUAGACCAAAUGAUAACAAACCAAGACGUGAUGAUUGCAAAUCAGGGGAAAAUUUUGGAUGGACUGGAAUCGUCGAACUGUCGGAUCUGUCAACCCGUUCAGUGCAAUCGUUACGAUCAGGAACAACGGAGAGAAAUGGUAUUCAAAUCGGUGACUGAAGGUUUUCAACAACGGGAAAUUGAUCAAAUAAAACCAGAUCAGCCAGAAGGAAUGUUACCAACAGCUCCAGCUUCACGUACGCCAAUCAUCAUCAUUCCGGGAACAGAUUCUAGUCUCAUCACAAUGUUCUGGAAAAUAUGAGAUUUGUGACAACGGAAGAGAAGAAGGCGCAAGGCUGUCCCAGAGAAAAUGAAGUGCUGCUGCAUCGUACUGACGAAGAAAACUGCCCUGUCGAAUACAGAGUAAUGGAUAAUCCAGCCAAAUUGACGUCGCAAGAAUGGAGCCGUGUUGUGGCAGUUUUCGUUUCGGGAUCAGUUUCACAAUUCAAAGGAUGGCCAUGGUAUGGCAAUCCGAUCGAAAUAUGUUGGAAAAGUAAAUAUUCAGAUUGUCGGAAUAGCUCAAUCAAAAGACAAAUUUUUUAGUUUUUGCCAAUAUAUUUCGUCCUCAAUUCGAGAACAUCAUCAGGGCUGUAACAAAAACAUUCCAUUGAUAACAACACAAAUCAUAGCUGUAUAAAGAGACACAGCGUACCUAUGUUAUAACUACAUUCAUACAAAAUAGCAAAAACUGCCCAUAACAAAAGUUCUGUGUAUGUUCCGUCUGUAUAAAUUAUAAAAACAAAUUGUAAGAAAAUGCUACUGGCACUACAUUAGCAAAAUCAACUUACAGAAACAAACACUUCGUCAAAAACAUUAACAAAACCAGAAAAAAACACUUUCUACAACAACCGGCAAAAUGACAUCAGUAAUUUGAAAGCAUAAAGAACCACUUCCUAGAAAAGCUUUGCCAUCCGUCUCACAAAAGUACGACUAACAAAAUUUUUAAUGGCAUUCUCAUUCGGCGCGACAAUUCAUAUGAUGUUAUUGUAUGCAGUCGAUAGAAAAACUGAUUCUUUCUGCUUGUUGAUGCAAUUUGCGUUCUUCCUUAUGUGGAUCAUUUCCAAAACACAACGUUUCUUCUUGUUGUAUUCAAAUUCGAGGAUUUCUACAUCAUCCCACUUCGGUUCAUGAUUUAAUGUAACAGCAUGUUCGGUGAUGGCACUAUGAUCAAUGUUCUUGAUCUUGGCGUUGUAUUUAUGCAGGUACAUUCUUCUUUUCAAUUUCUGUUUCGUUUGUCCAAUGUAAAUGGCAUCACAAGAGCAUGUGACUUUGUAAACAACAUUAGAUUGUUCCAACUUGACUGUCUUAUCUUUCAGCCUACUGAAACAAUAUUUUUUAACAUUGUUGUCACCUCUACCAACUGUGGUAAAAUGUUCUUUGCAAAUUGAUUUUAGACUUUCAAACAAGCCUCUGAGCUGGUAGUUGAUCGUGGAUUGAAGGGCUGUCUUUUCCUGCAAUCUUCAACUUCGUUUUACUAAUGAUGUCUUCCGUCAAUUUGCUAGGAUAUCCAUUAGUCUGCAACGUGGUUCUUAGUAAUUGGAAAUUUUGUUCGUGAAAAUCUGGAUCGAAGUGGGAUGAUGUAGAAAUCCUCGAAUUUGAAUACAACAAGAAGAAACGUUGUGUUUUGGAAAUGAUCCACAUAAGGAAGAACGCAAAUUGCAUCAACAAGCAGAAAGAAUCAGUUUUUCUAUCGACUGCAUACAAUAACAUCAUAUGAAUUGUCGCGCCGAAUGAGAAUGCCAUUAAAAAUUUUGUUAGUCGUACUUUUGUGAGACGGAUGGCAAAGCUUUUCUAGGAAGUGGUUCUUUAUGCUUUCAAAUUACUGAUGUCAUUUUGCCGGUUGUUGUAGAAAGUGUUUUUUUCUGGUUUUGUUAAUGUUUUUGACGAAGUGUUUGUUUCUGUAAGUUGAUUUUGCUAAUGUAGUGCCAGUAUCAUUUUCUUACAAUUUGUUUUUAUAAUUUAUACAGACGGAACAUACACAGAACUUUUGUUAUGGGCAGUUUUUGCUAUUUUGUAUGAAUGUAGUUAUAACAUAGGUACGCUGUGUCUCUUUAUACAGCUAUGAUUUGUGUUGUUAUCAAUGGAAUGUUUUUGUUACAGCCCUGAUGAUGUUCUCGAAUUGAGGACGAAAUAUAUUGGCAAAAACUAAAAAAUUUGUCUUUUGAUUGAGCUAUUCCGACAAUCUGAAUAUUCAUUGAUCAGCUCAUAAACAAUUUGAAGUUGGAAAAUUGGUGCAUUUCACUUGCGAUACAGUGAAAUGAAAUUGGAUUCGAACGUUGCACAUUGGCCGGUAACCGUAUUGAGUUUGUCCCUGAAUGAACGACAUUUAGAUCGGGCAGUGUUAAUGACGUUUUGGGAAAGCCUGGACAAACACAUUGCGAGAAACAAACCCAAACUUCGACUCUGAUUCUAUCAAAACAUUGAAUUUACAUUAUGCGUUCGGUUCGAGAUCGUUUGUUUUGUAUUAUUUCAGUGAAAGAAAAUACAAUUAGAGCAUUGUA